CCUUAGCCUCCAUCUUCAGGCAAGAAAGUCUGUGAUAUGAAUGAAGGGAUCAUAAAAGGCACAUGGAAUCAAAGCUUUUGGUCAACUGCCAACAAGGUACAGAGGCCCAACAGCAAUCAUCGAAUGAGCUUGGAAGUGGAUCCUCUCACCCCAGUUGAGCCUUCUGAUGACUGCAGCCCUGGCUGAUGCUUGACUACAACUUCAUCAGAAAUCCUCAUGAAGAUCCAGCACCUUCCAGUUAGCCCAUCUGUGGGUUCUUGACCCUCAGAAAUUCUAUGAGAUAAUAAAUAUUUGUUGUUUUAAGUUGCUAAACUUUGGGAAAAUUUAUUUUUUGGUUUUGGGGGGUUUUUUGAGGCAGGGCCUUGCUCUGUUACCCAGACUGGAAUGCAGUGGUACAAUCACUGCUCACUGCAAUCUUGACUUCCUGGGCUCAAGCAAUCCUCCCAGCUAAACCUCACAAGUAGCUGAAACUACAGGUGUGGGUGCUACCACCCUCG
rnacentral:lncRNA from 1 species